rnacentral:rRNA from 1 species
UACGUAGGGUGCAAGCGUUGUCCGGAAUUAUUGGGCGUAAAGAGCUCGUAGGCGGUCUGUCGCGUCGGCUGUGAAAUCCCGAGGCUCAACCUCGGGUCUGCAGUCGAUACGGGCAAACUAGAGUAUUGCAGGGGAGACUGGAAUUCCUGGUGUAGCGGUGAAAUGCGCAGAUAUCAGGAGGAACACCGGUGGCGAAGGCGGGUCUCUGGGCCGAAACUGACGCUAAGGAGCGAAAGCGUGGGGAGCAAACAGGG